UAAACCCCCCGACAUCGGCUUUAGGGAGAGGUAAACCCCCCGACAUCGGCUUUAGGGAGAGGUAAACCCCCCGACAUCGGCUUUAGGGAGAGGUAAACCCCCCGACAUCGGCUUUAGGGAGAGGUAAACCCCCCGACAUCGGCUUUAGGGAGAGGUAAACCCCCCGACAUCGGCUUUAGGGAGAGGUAAACCCCCCGACAUCGGCUUUAGGGAGAGGUAAACCCCCCGACAUCGGCUUUAGGGAGAGGUAAACCCCCCGACAUCGGCUUUAGGGAGAGGUAAACCCCCCGACAUCGGCUUUAGGGAGAGGUAAACCCCCCGACAUCGGCUUUAGGGAGAGGUAAACCCCCCGACAUCGGCUUUAGGGA